UACGUAGGGUGCGAGCGUUGUCCGGAUUUAUUGGGCGUAAAGAGCUCGUAGGCGGUUUGUCGCGUCGGCCGUGAAAUCUCCACGCUUAACGUGGAGCGUGCGGUCGAUACGGGCAGACUCGAGUCCGGUAGAGGAGUGUGGAAUUCCCGGUGUAGCGGUGAAAUGCGCAGAUAUCGGGAGGAACACCCGUAGCGAAGGCGGCACUCUGGGCCGGAACUGACGCUGAGGAGCGAAAGCGUGGGGAGCAAACAGG
rnacentral:rRNA from 1 species